AAAUGAAUAAUCACACAAAGUGUCGGCUAUAUUGUAUGGGUAUAGUCGGUGAAAAGGGAAUCGGGUGAGAAUCCCGAACGAUAACAGUCGCUGUAUGUAUUGAAGUUUUUAUAUUUUUUGAUGAAAGUCAGUCAUUGGGAAACUGAGAAGGCGAAUAUAAAAAUGUUAAGCUUGCUUUAUAUAAUACGAGUCAGAAGACCUGCUUUGAUACUGCUCCGUAC
rnacentral:ncRNA from 2 species